GAUGAACGCUAGCUACAGGCUUAACACAUGCAAGUCGAGGGGCAGCAUGAACUUAGCUUGCUAAGUUUGAUGGCGACCGGCGCACGGGUGAGUAACACGUAUCCAACCUGCCGAUGACUCGGGGAUAGCCUUUCGAAAGAAAGAUUAAUACCCGAUGGCAUAGUUCUUCCGCAUGGUAGAACUAUUAAAGAAUUUCGGUCAUCGAUGGGGAUGCGUUCCAUUAGGUUGUUGGCGGGGUAACGGCCCACCAAGCCUUCGAUGGAUAGGGGUUCUGAGAGGAAGGUCCCCCCACAUUGGAACUGAGACACGGUCCAAACUCCUACGGGAGGCAGCAGUGAGGAAUAUUGGUCAAUGGACGAGAGUCUGAACCAGCCAAGUAGCGUGAAGGAUGACUGCCCUAUGGUUGUAAACUUCUUUAUACGGAAUAAGUGAGGCACGUGUGCUUUUGUAUGUACCGUAUGAAUAAGGAUCGGCUAACUCCGUG
rnacentral:rRNA from 1 species